GGGGUGUGAGUGUGAGUAUUGCCAUUGCUCUUCCCUACCUGCUCAUGAACUGAGGGCUCCAUAGGAUGCUCUAGAGGAGAAAGACCCUCAGGACCCAAAAGGUCUGCCUCCUAAGAGGCCUGAGACACAAACAGCUUGUGGGAGCUUGACAUGGAGACUGCUUGAUGUGCUAUGACUACCAGCUGCAAAUGGCUUGCACUGGCCAGAUGACAGGACAAAGGCAACAAAGUUAUUUUGAGACUGUUCCGUGAAAAGGAAAUCAAGAAGGAUCUUUGAACAGAAAGUGGAUUAUUUAUGUUCUGUUGUCAUGCAACAAAUAUUCACCCUGUAAAGUGUAUACACACAGUCCAUUUGGAAAAUGAUGCUAACCAUCUAUGAAGGGCAAACACCUCUGUGACUUAGAAUAACUUCUACAAAAAAGAGUAUUCCUUGUCAUAGUAGAAAAGAGUGGUUUGAUGCUACUAUGAUUGCACAUGUAUUCUACCAAAUGUAAUAAAGGUUCAUAUAGU